AGUCGAGCGGAGAUGAGGUGCUUGCACCUUAUCUUAGCGGCGGACGGGUGAGUAAUGCUUAGGAAUCUGCCUAUUAGUGGGGGACAACAUUCCGAAAGGAAUGCUAAUACCGCAUACGUCCUACGGGAGAAAGCAGGGGAUCUUCGGACCUUGCGCUAAUAGAUGAGCCUAAGUCGGAUUAGCUAGUUGGUGGGGUAAAGGCCUACCAAGGCGACGAUCUGUAGCGGGUCUGAGAGGAUGAUCCGCCACACUGGGACUGAGACACGGCCCAGACUUCUACGGGAGGCAGCAGUGGGGAAUAUUGGACAAUGGGGGGAACCCUGAUCCAGCCAUGCCGCGUGUGUGAAGAAGGCCUUAUGGUUGUAAAGCACUUUAAGCGAGGAGGAGGCUACUGAGACUAAUACUCUUGGAUAGUGGACGUUACUCGCAGAAUAAGCACCGGCUAACUCUGUGCCAGCAGCCGCGGUAAUACAGAGGGUGCGAGCGUUAAUCGGAUUUACUGGGCGUAAAGCGUGCGUAGGCGGCUUUUUAAGUCGGAUGUGAAAUCCCCGAGCUUAACUUGGGAAUUGCAUUCGAUACUGGGAAGCUAGAGCAUGGGAGAGGAUGGUAGAAUUCCAGGUGUAGCGGUGAAAUGCGUAGAGAUCUGGAGGAAUACCGAUGGCGAAGGCAGCCAUCUGGCCUAAUACUGACGCUGAGGUACGAAAGCAUGGGGAGCAAACAGGAUUAGAUACCCUGGUAGUCCAUGCCGUAAACGAUGUCUACUAGCCGUUGGGGCCUUUGAGGCUUUAGUGGCGCAGCUAACGCGAUAAGUAGACCGCCUGGGGAGUACGGUCGCAAGACUAAAACUCAAAUGAAUUGACGGGGGCCCGCACAAGCGGUGGAGCAUGUGGUUUAAUUCGAUGCAACGCGAAGAACCUUACCUGGCCCUUGACAUACUAGAAACUUUCCAGAGAUGGAUUGG
rnacentral:rRNA from 1 species